UACAUUACACUGGAGCUUAGCAAAUCUGCACUGCAGGAUUUGCCAAGGAAAAUCAAACUGGUCGCUUUCUAAGCUCCUCCCAUCUCCCAUGUGAUUCGUAAUAUUUUUCUAGUGACUUUUAGGCUGAAGAGGAAGCUUGUCCAGUUCUUCUUUCUGACAAACCGCGGCCUGGACCAGCUGGUGAAACAUAAUUCUGAAUCCUGCCCACAGCCUUCGGUGGUGUUGGAUGAACGGCCAGAGCCUUGGGAGCCCUGAGUUUGAUUUCAAGUUUUAAGGCCGGCACCAGUGGAGUGAUGAAUGGUGAAAGCUGUCCCCUUAAAGGAGCACAAUUGCCUUUAGGUGACUGCUAACUCUGGGCUUUUGCUGAGGACAGUGUUUACUUUGUGAGCUUAAUGACAGGGCUGGCUUUCUGGGAGUGUUGCAAUGAAACAGACUCAGACAGAGGCCAUCAUGGACCUCCUCCCUAGCAAGGCCAUUACGGCUGGCAUCUCAAGAGCAGUUCCAUUGAACUUGGGAUUUGGGCGUGAGACACAGUUUCAUCAGAAGAAUUUAAACCGAAGUCUACAUUUGCCCUCUGGAUAAAUGUGUGUGUUCGGCAGCAACCACA